rnacentral:pre_miRNA from 1 species
AUAAUACGUUUCGAACUAAUGAUUUUCAGUUCAUUCAUUAGGUAGUUACGCAUUAUCU